AAUUUGCACGAUUAGUUACAGAUGUCGACUCGGACUACUGCAAAAGACAAUAAUUCAGUUCACUGAUUUAGAUUGAAUAGUGGUUCGGUUAAUCCCCUCUUCCCCAAACAAGGCAAGGACAUUAAAGAUAAAGGGAAACUAUAAACAAAAGAAAUUAUCAACAAAAAUAGAUUUACAGACGUCAACAAAGCCUAAAUGGUCAGACAUCUUGGUUUUCAUGAUCAUCAUUCAACAAGUCAAUACUGAACAGAAAACUUAAAGUUGAUAUUUUUCUACAUAGUGUGACUUUUUUAUUAAUUUGAAAUGGAAUGUGUUUUUUUCCUACAUAAGAAAGAGGAAAUUUCAUCAUAAUGACUAUAAACAAAAAGGCGUCAUAUCAUCAUGAUCAUAGAUGCACAAGAACUUAAUCAUGUAAAUGCAAUAACGUAAUUAUCAAUUGAAAGAAGGGAGGAAUGAAAAAAUAUAUUAGUAUUUUGUUGUCCAAAUGAACUUGCUUUGUCCACUCAUUUAAAUCGCUCCAUCCAAUAAAGACGUACGGUGGAAGAUUUUUGAAGAACAGAUUGCAAAAGAGGUUUUGUCUUAGAAUUGUAGGAAUAUUCUAGUGGAUGAAAUAAUUUAUUUACUUGACUCUUAUAUAGUGGACUGAAUAAUUGUACAUAGCAAGCUGAAACAAGAAAAACUAAAACUUAACAGGAAAAGUGUUUAUUUUAUAAAUUUGCAAAUAUAAACGUAAUAUUAUGAACACCACAAAGGUAUAAGAUUCAAAUCGUUUGCAUAUUCAUGUAUUGCAAUGGAACUAAAACAAAGAAAACUUUAACUCAUGAAAAGAGUAAACUAUUAACUGUGCUUUGUCAAUUUAUUCAGUCAGAAUAUGAAAUAUUUUUUUUCAGUUCUAUUUUUCAUAAUAAAAC